UAAACUAUACGUAAUGUGACCAUUAUAAUACACGAAUGUGAAAAUUAAAUUAUAUGUACACAAAACACAUCAAUUAAUGACUAAAAACACAUGAUUUUAAAUUAAAUACUUUAGACAGAUUUUACAAAUUAGCUAUGAAGAUUGGUAGAAUAAAACUUCACACUGUAAUUAACCCAAUAAUGCAGCAUAAAUUCUGUGCUUAUCUCUUUAAAAUACAUUUGAUUCUAGAGUAGACAUAAAAAGAUUAUAUUCCUCGUCCAAUGCUAUAUAUUCUGAAACCACUUCAUCCUGUCCAACGGUUCGUAUCCUGCAACAACAACUAAUUAAUAAUUGACUCCAUCUAUAAGACCAACAUUGAAUAAAAACAGAAAAACUACUAGUCGGAUUUUAUUACUUAACAAUUAAAGUAGUAAGUAAUCCAUGGAUAGAGGAAAACGAAGAUCCGGAGAAUUUGAUUCAGAAGAAGAAGAAGAAGAGUUUAAGGUUGAGAAUCUUAAUGAAGAAAUUUCCAAUUCCAACAAAUUAUCUGCGUCUAAUUGGAAGAAUCGGUUGAAGCUGCUGCGGAAUUACUCUACUCUUGACAACAGUAGUACUGUUAGUGUUAGAAAUAAUAGUAGUAGAAGCAGGGGAAGCAGAGAUCAUUGCUAUGGAUUUAUUAUUCACCCUGAUAAUUGGUCAGUCAUGCUUAUUUAAGGAAAAUCCAAUAGCCUUUGUCACAUUACUU
rnacentral:lncRNA from 1 species